rnacentral:rRNA from 1 species
UACAGAGGUCUCAAGCGUUGUUCGGAUUCAUUGGGCGUAAAGGGUGCGUAGGCGGCGCGGUAAGUCGGGUGUGAAAUUUCGAGGCUUAACUUCGAAACUGCAUUCGAUACUACCGUGCUUGAGGACUGGAGAGGAGACUGGAAUUUACGGUGUAGCGGUGAAAUGCGUAGAUAUCGUAAGGAAGACCAGUGGCGAAGGCGGGUCUCUGGACAGUUCCUGACGCUGAGGCAACGGAAGGCCCAGGGGAGCAAACGGG